UUAGUUUGCACUAAAAUUCCACAUUUUAAAUUCUACACUAUAUAUAUUUUUUAACUCAGGUUAGUUUACACUAAAUUUCUCCAUCCCAGAGAACUAACUACCCCGUAUAAUUAAAACAUAAAAAAUUUAUUUAACUCGGGUUAGUUUACACUAAAUUUCUCCAUCCCAGAGAACUAACUACCCCGUAUAAUUAAAACAGAUAAAAAGAAAAAGAAAAGGGGGAAAGUCAGCAAAAUUGAUGAAAAUAAAGGGGGGAAAAGUGAUGCUACAUGUUUCAAAUUCAGAGAAAAAGUUUCCAUUCGACUUGGAGCCCGAGCAACGAGUGUCGGACGGUGGCCGGGCUUAUCUGAAGUGAAACAAGACAAAAUUCCAGAAAAGACACAAAAAAGAUUUAAGGCGCCGGAGGAGCCCGGGCUCCCACGGCCGAGGCCCAGCCCGCGACCUUGGCCCGGGCGCCCCGCGGCGCCGCCCCCUGGGCCAAUAGGCGCCCGGGCAGCGGCGCCGCGUGUGGCACGAGCAGGGAAACUCAGGGCGGGCGCAAUUGCAGCCCGGGGAAGGUGUCUGAGGUCGGGAGGCGUGAGAGCCCGGAGCCGGAGCCUGAAGUCCGACGGGAAGAUGGCGCUAAGAAUGCUGCAGAAGGCCGGCCGCGCGGCCGCCGCUGCUGCUGCAAGAGCCGGAGCCGGAGUCGGAGCCGGAACCGGAGCGGGGCUCCUGCGCAAUCUAAUUGUCUGAAGUCAAAAAUAUGAACAUAGGCAGUGAAUUUCAA
rnacentral:lncRNA from 1 species